GCACAGGAACCCACAUGGCACGUCCGCCAGGUGGAAGCCACUGCACCUCCCCCCGUGCUGGUGGCAAAGGGCUAGUCAUCCUCUGACAGAGCUCCCACACCUUCCCUGAGCCACACGGCCUGAGGAGUAAAAGCCUGCUCAGGGCUGUAACUGAGCCAGGUCACAGCUUUUCUGGCCCCCAAGACACUGAGGGUUUCACUUCCACUUCUAUCAGUGAGACUCUUAGCAAAGCACCUGGACUCUAAUGGGUUCAUUUCCAAUUAAUUUCAUCUGCCCCCAGGGUACAGCCAUGGGCUGACCCUGAACUGGGACUGCCAAAGGAACCCUUCAGAGGCUGCGCUGGGAGGACCUUGGCUGGCUGCUGGCCCCCGCCCAGCUGCUGUCUUGUCCUCAAGCUCUGAAAACGUUCCUGGAUGGCUUUUUGGCAGCUUCACAUUUACUCCUGCUGCUAGGGUGGGUUAGGUUUUGAUCAGCCGCAGUUUUAGCCAGACUCCCACUCUGGAUGGUGAUAAGGGAAAAUGUUAAGUUGCUGUUGAGAAAAUGUUACGCUGCUAUUGAUAAGGGAAAAUUUCAAGCUGCACAGUCUAAUAAGUGAAAUUUUAAGGUUCGUGUGCUGUUGCUAAGAUAGCAGCUAUGUGCUGGUGAGCAGGCAAUGGGGAGUUGCCCAGAGGCAGCCAAUGGGAAAGCUGUGUGAUGGUGCGAAGGGGCAGCCAGUGGGAAAGUGUGCAGUGUAGCAAAGGGUAACCCGUAGACAACCAAUGGGACACCGAGUGGACGGGCAGCCCAUGAGGAGCCGUUGCCAGGGGAAGAUGCUGAGGGACUGAGUGAGUGGAGAAAGCCUGCCAGAGAAAGAUGUCCUGUUGAAGGAGGAGAUCUGGAACACAAGAUUUAUGGACUACAAGGACCUUCUGCAGAAACCAGCAGCUAAAGAAGAAGACUAACAAAGGCUCAGCAUUUGUGUCAGAAAAUCCCUAGGGGAGGGAAAAUAUACAAAAAAGAUUAAAGAUAUGAAGUUA